rnacentral:rRNA from 1 species
AGGACGAACGCUGGCGGCGUGCUUAACACAUGCAAGUCGAACGGUAAGGCCCUUCGGGGUACACGAGUGGCGAACGGGUGAGUAACACGUGGGUAAUCUGCCCUGCACAUCGGGAUAAGCCUGGGAAACUGGGUCUAAUACCGAAUAGGACCACAGAACACAUGUCCUGUGGUGGAAAGCUUUUGCGGUGUGGGAUGGGCCCGCGGCCUAUCAGCUUGUUGGUGGGGUGAUGGCCCACCAAGGCGACGACGGGUAGCCGGCCUGAGAGGGUGUCCGGCCACACUGGGACUGAGAUACGGCCCAGACUCCUACGGGAGGCAGCAGAAGGG